rnacentral:piRNA from 1 species
UCUGAUUGUGCCCUAAGUGGUGUACUUCCU